rnacentral:rRNA from 1 species
UACGAAGGGGGCUAGCGUUGCUCGGAAUCACUGGGCGUAAAGGGUGCGUAGGCGGGUCUUUAAGUCAGGGGUGAAAUCCUGGAGCUCAACUCCAGAACUGCCUUUGAUACUGAGGAUCUGGAGUCCGGGAGAGGUGAGCGGAACUGCGAGUGUAGAGGUGAAAUUCGUAGAUAUUCGCAAGAACACCAGUGGCGAAGGCGGCUCACUGGCCCGGAACUGACGCUGAGGUGCGAAAGCGUGGGGAGCAAACAGG